UAUUGGGCGUAAGAGCUCGUAGGCGGUUUGUCGCGUCUGCUGUGAAAUCCCGAGGCUCAACCUCGGGCUUGCAGUGGGUACGGGCAGACUAGAGUGCGGUAGGGGAGAUUGGAAUUCCUGGUGUAGCGGUGGAAUGCGCAGAUAUCAGGAGGAACACCGAUGGCGAAGGCAGAUCUCUGGGCCGUAACUGACGCUGAGGAGCGAAAGCAUGGGGAGCGAACAGGAUUAGAUACCCUGGUAGUCCAUGCCGUAAACGUUGGGCGCUAGAUGUAGGGACCUUUCCACGGUUUCUGUGUCGUAGCUAACGCAUUAAGCGCCCCGCCUGGGGAGUACGGCCGCAAGGCUAAAACUCAAAGGAAUUGACGGGGGCCCGCACAAGCGGCGGAGCAUGCGGAUUAAUUCGAUGCAACGCGAAGAACCUUACCAAGGCUUGACAUACACCGGAAACGGCCAGAGAUGGUCGCCCCCUUGUGGUCGGUGUACAGGUGGUGCAUGGUUGUCGUCAGCUCGUGUCGUGAGAUGUUGGGUUAAGUCCCGCAACGAGCGCAACCCUCGUUCUAUGUUGCCAGCGCGUUAUGGCGGGGACUCAUAGGAGACUGCCGGGGUCAACUCGGAGGAAGGUGGGGAUGACGUCAAAUCAUCAUGCCCCUUAUGUCUUGGGCUUCACGCAUGCUACAAUGGCCGGUACAAAGGGCUGCGAUACCGUAAGUGAGCGAAUCCCAAAAAGCCGGUCUCAGUUCGGAUUGAGUCUGCAACUCGACCUCAUGAAGUCGGAGUCGCUAGUAAUCGCAGAUCAGCAACGCUGCGUGAAUACGUUCCCGGGCUUGUACACACCGCCCGUCAGUCAUGAAAG
rnacentral:rRNA from 2 species